UUUUAUCUACUCUUCUAUACACUCCCAAGAGAAUAGAUUGUUGUUGUUUUUUUCAAUUUAUUUAUUUUUUUUUCAAAACAAUUUCUGCAAUUACGCUCUCACACUCGCGCUCAUUAUUUUCGUUUUUUUCUGGUGUCAGUUUUUACACAGAAAUCGUCGUGUGAACUACACAGUGGAAUUUAAAGAAGUUUAUUUAUUAAAUUUUUAUUAUAAAUUGUUAAAUUGAAAUCAAAUAGAAUUUUGUGUGAUUUAAAGAGAAAAAGCAGCUGAAUAAGAAUUAAAAAAAAAACAAAGUGUGUGUUUAUAUUGCAAAUAAAUUGUUUUAAAAAACACGAUAAUUAAAGGGAUUUGCUCCCAAAGCAUUAACAACAAGUGGUUUUUACUAAUAAAAUUUGCCGAAAAAAAAAACAACAAAAACAAAGUAGUGACGAAUAGAAUAAGAAGCAGAAUAGCGAAUGUAGUGUAAAAGAAAAUGAAAGUGUUUGAAUUUCAAAUCAAAGCUCUAACAUAAAACCGCGUGUAAAGCGAUACAAAAUAAAAAGCAGCAACACAAUAAUUUUAUUGAAAAAAAAUUUCAAGUGCUCUUAAAAAGUUACUUUUUUAUUAUAAAACUAUAAAUACUUUUGCAAUCCAAAACUGCUUAAACCACAAAAAAGUGUUAAAAAAAACUUAAAAAACUUAAAUUUUUUGCCUGCAAAGCAAUUUUCUACAACUUUUGGUUCCUAUUUCUCAACUUAUACAAACUGCCAGUAAGAGAAGUUCGUUCACAAAAAACAACAGCGCUCGCCUAAUUAAACAAAAAAAAAAAAGUAAAAAUUUAAAUCUAAAAAAUUAUUACACACACGUGAAUUUGCAUAAAUCUUUUAUUGAGAAAAAAGAUUAAAAAAAAGGGUAAAAAUAAAACAAACCUAAAAACACAAAUUCCAAUUUAGAACAUAAAUAACUCAAAACUUUUAGUGGCAGUGAUUUGGAGUCUACAUCAAAUGUACGGUUCUGUUAAUUAG